GUGCUCACUUUGUCAGCAUAUAUACUAAAAGUGGAACAGUACAGAGAUUAGCAUGGCCCCUGUGCAGAGAUGAAAUGUAAAUUCACGAAGCAUUCCAUAUUUGG
ensembl:snRNA U6 U6 spliceosomal RNA